CAGCCGCCGCGGUAAUACAGAGGGUGCGAGCGUUAAUCGGAUUUACUGGGCGUAAAGCGUGCGUAGGCGGCUUUUUAAGUCGGAUGUGAAAUCCCUGAGCUUAACUUAGGAAUUGCAUUCGAUACUGGGAAGCUAGAGUAUGGGAGAGGAUGGUAGAAUUCCAGGUGUAGCGGUGAAAUGCGUAGAGAUCUGGAGGAAUACCGAUGGCGAAGGCAGCCAUCUGGCCUAAUACUGACGCUGAGGUACGAAAGCAUGGGGAGCAAAUAGGAUUAGAUACCCCCGUAGUCCCUGUCUCUUAUAC
rnacentral:rRNA from 1 species